UAAUAGACAGUAAGCUAACGUGGAAAUCCCACCUAGACAAUAGAGUUAAUAAAGCUUGUGUCGCCUUCGGCCAGUGCCGGAGGGCUGUCUCCCAAGAUAGCCCUGUGGAUCUACACCGCCGUUGUUCGACCAAUGCUAACUUACGGUGCGGUGGUAUGGUGGACUAGAACUUCUAAGUCUACCGCCAGCACUGCGCUUAAUAGAAUACAGAGACUCGCGUGUCUGUAUGUUACAGGUGCGCUGCGAUCAACCCCCACAGCGGCCAUGGAAAUCAUGUUAAAUUUACCACCACUCAACCUACAUAUCCAGGAAGUGGCGUUGGUAACCAUGAAACGACUACAAUCAGUAGGAACUAUGAAGGAUGAGGACGCUGGCAGCAGUUCAACACUCUGGAGGGAAGCAGUGCUAGACACACCCCUACUCGAGUUUGUAGAUGUACAUAGAACCUUAAAGAUCUACACUGAUGGUUCAAAAGGACGAAAUGGUGCAGGCGCGGGGGUAUUCUCUCACGAUCCCCUGAUUCGCCUCUCAGAACCUUUAGGGUCCAGCACCACCGUCAUACAAGCGGAACUAACUGCUAUUAAACUUGCUGCUGACUGCAUUGUUGAAUCCAACAAGCGGGGUUUUAAACGGGUGGGACCGUACCCCGGGCUGUCAUCUCGCUAAGGAAUUGUUAAAAUAUCCUUCAGCCGCAACAGCCCAGUUUUUCGUAGGGCUCGGUAAAAGCGGUAAAACCUUCAAAACAUGAAGCUUGCUGACUCUCCUCUCUGUCGAGCCUGUGAACAGGAUGACGAGACGGUUAAACACAUCUUGUGUGAUUGUCCCUCUCUGACCGAUCUCAGAUUGAGGACCUUCGGGGAGGAAUGGCCAACCACAGAUGACAUCAGGAAUGCACCUCUAGGAGCUGUCCUAGCCUUUGGUAAAUCCUUAGGCUGGUUGAUGUGACCAGAGCGUGUAAUGGGAGGAUGCACAAGGGGCCCAAUGGGGCCUAAGUGUGGCGUGCGGUUUUGCAUGCACUCCCCAAUCCAUACAUACAUACAUCACUUGGAAGGUUAUAUGGAAGAGUCCUGAAAACUACGAUAAAAAGGGAAAUUAAGGAGGAAAAGGUACAAAGUGGUUUCAGACCUAGUUGAGAGGAAGCUGUCAAAAGGAAGGGCCGUUAUAGAACCAUGACCAAGACAAAGACACAACUUAAAGACUGCUAGCAGCAAAGAUGUUGUUCAUAACUAUGUUGAACUGAGUUGAAAAUGAGGAUAUAAGAAGAAGAGUGACCGCACAAAACUCAAUAAUAGACACUGCAAAUGAAAAGCAACUAAAA